UACGGGGGGAGCAAGCGUUGUUCGGAUUUACUGGGCGUAAAGGGCGCGUAGGCGGCCACCGCAAGUCGACUGUGAAAUCUCCGGGCUUAACCCGGAAAGGUCAGCCGAUACUGCGGGGCUAGAGUGCAGAAGGGGCAACUGGAAUUCUCGGUGUAGCGGUGAAAUGCGUAGAUAUCAGGAGGAACACCAAUAGCGAAGGCAGCUCGCUGGGACGGUACUGACGCUAAGGCGCGAAAGCGUGGGGAGCGAACAGG
rnacentral:rRNA from 1 species